rnacentral:tRNA from 1 species
GCGCCUAUAGCUCAGUCGGUUAGAGCAACAGACUCAUAAUCUGUGGGUCCCUGGUUCGAGCCCAGGUGGGCGCA